GAUGAACGCUGGCGGCGUGCCUAAUACAUGCAAGUCGAGCGAACGGACGAGAAGCUUGCUUCUCUGAUGUUAGCGGCGGACGGGUGAGUAACACGUGGAUAACCUACCUAUAAGACUGGGAUAACUUCGGGAAACCGGAGCUAAUACCGGAUGAUAUUUUGAACCGCAUGGUUCAGAAGUGAAAGACGGUCUUGCUGUCACUUAUAGAUGGAUCCGCGCUGCAUUAGCUAGUUGGUAAGGUAACGGCUUACCAAGGCAACGAUGCAUAGCCGACCUGAGAGGGUGAUCGGCCACACUGGAACUGAGACACGGUCCAGACUCCUACGGGAGGCAGCAGUAGGGAAUCUUCCGCAAUGGGCGAAAGCCUGACGGAGCAACGCCGCGUGAGUGAUGAAGGUCUUCGGAUCGUAAAACUCUGUUAUUAGGGAAGAACAUAUGUGUAAGUAACUGUGCACAUCUUGACGGUACCUAAUCAGAAAGCCACGGCUAACUACGUG
rnacentral:rRNA from 1 species